rnacentral:lncRNA from 1 species
AGACUGCCUGAGUCUUCUGACCUUCAUCUUUCCCCUGUGUUGGAUGCCUCCUGCCCUCAAACAUCAGACUCCAGGUUCUUCAGCUUUUGGACUCUUGGACCUACCCCCCGAGUGGUUUGCCAGGGGCUCUCAGGCCUUCGGCUACAGACUGAGGGCUGCAUUAUCAGCUUUCCUACUUUUGAGGUUUUGGGACUUUACUGGCUUUCUUGCUCCUCAACUUGCAGAUGGCCUGUUGUGGGACCUCACCUUGUGAUCAUGUACAUGAGGGAAAUACACACCCCUCCCAGGGAUGAUGGAAGGUUAAGGUCCUAACACCUCCUGCACAUCUGAGCAGCUGCACAUUGAACCAGAUAGUCCUGGAAUGUGGGAAAACAGAGGCAGACUCAAGAGUCUGGAACAUUAUUUUAGGAUCACACAAAAAAGAUACAUAAUUUUCAUAGAAUGAUACUGAAAGCAUCUCAAAAAUAAAAUCACGAGUAUCUGCAGAUCACUAUGAGACUGGACUGGAACAUUACCUUCAGGUGUGUUGCUUCGCCUUUGGAGAAUGCCAUCUGCCAGAUAUGGGAUCAACCUCUUAAGUCUAACAUAGCAAAGAAUAUCCCCCAUACCAUUUUACUGAAGAAAAACAACAAACAGCAGUUCCUUCCGCCACACUGGGUCUUAGCACAUGCAGAGCUGUGGAGUCCUGUCUGUGCACAGAGACAGGCAUUGACAGGUGGAGUCAGCUUCUCCACCACUGACAUCUUUCCAAGUCAGUGCUGUGCUAUGUCUGCAAAUGAGAAAGGGGCAGCCUGGAUGAUGCUAUAAUUGGCAGUACCAACUCCAUGGAAAUAUUCAGAGGCUUCAGCUGUCAUUUUAAAACUGUCCUUCAGGUGGUGCCAUGUCAAAGGGAAGGGACCUGCACGACUGCCCAAGGUUCCAGAUACCUUAAGAGUUAAGCAGGGAUUGGAUGCUGGGGUUCCCGUGUUCAUUUGCCCCUUUAUUCAACUAGUGCUUACUAAGUGCUUAAUGCAUCCCAAAUUAUGGAAGGACCUGGGAACAUAUGUAAGACACUAUUCAUGCUUUCAAGUUGCUUGUAGUUUAGUCAAGGAGCCAGCUUAGCAUCUAAAACCAUGCAACCCCAAUUUCUAACCACCAGUCAACUCUCCAGUAAGCCUUCUUCAUGACACAUUGAUAUGACUACAUGCUGGACAUUUUCUUGCGGAAAUCCAAAAGAAAUCCCCAUUUUCUUGCAGAAAUCUAAAAUAAUCUCCCCUAUGUGCAAGUCAGACUGAGCACCACUCCCAAGACCAUGACCUCCCCUGCAGCCCUGCUCCUUCCCACUCACCUCUCCUCUUGAGAAAGCCACCUCCCACCACCCAGUCUGCAGUGCCAGAAAACUGGAAACCAGCCCCUAAGCUGCUUUCACCUUCGGCCCAUUUCUCACUAGCCAGCCUCUCCCACGGCCUCCCCAGUUUCUUCAAAUACACCCCCUCCACUAUUCACCAUACUGCCACCGUGAUUUAUUUACAACUUUUUGUCCGGAUUACCUCAGUAGCCUUCUAAUUGUCCCCUUUGCAUCUAAAGUAGCCCCUCUCAUCCCCCAAAUCUUACGUCACUCUUCUACAUAAUUCUGGCUUUCCAUGACCCAUAAACCACAUUUCUCAAGUGUGCUCUAUGCUGGCUUGAAUAUGUUAAUAAUCUUAAUUCUACUUUUAGUGCAAUUUUCUUAGAGCUGGCAUCACUUUCAUCAUGACGUGAGAACUUACUAGAGAUAGGCAAUGAUGACUCACAGUCAAGCCACAUGUCAUAUGCUGCAGACAUCUGGACUGCUGCUUAUUUGCAAAUCCUUUUCUUCAUAUUUUUCUCAUUUGUAGCACUGGAUCAAUUCCAAUUAAGAGUUUAAUAAUGAAUUAACUAAUGAUUUAAACAGGUGGAUAAGACUAACACUGAACCAAUGAUUUUAAGUAAAUCUAAAUACAUAAAUCCCCCCAAAUUAUUAAUCUAUGUUGUUUACUAAGAAGUGUAUUAAAAUGAUAUUGAAAAAGUUUGCUUUGGGAAAGAGCUAGAAGUUAGAAGGUCUAGGUUCAAAUCCCGCCUCUACUCCAUCCUUGACUAAGAUGUUGGACCCAUCACCUCAACUUUCCUUGGGUCUUUUUGCCCAGACAUGACCCGAUGACACAGAGCUUACCUGGACCUCCACAAUAGUAAAUAGAACAGGGCCAGCAAACCAAAAUUUGUUGAGUCCUUUAGAAUUAAGUAGCUUAGAUAAAUUUUCAUCAAAAUCUUUAUAUAGUAGGGAAUAGAAAAAAGUCAAUUCUGUUUUAUUUGAGGAUGUAUGAAUAUGUUACCAUUUUUCAGACUCUGAUUUACCUUCCAAUUAUUGUUUAUUGGGGUCAUUGUAAAUUAGUUAUCAUUUUUUGAAUACACAUUCACUGCUGACAAAGUGGUGAAGCCAGAAGUUAUGUUUGACCAGGGAAGAUUAUGACCCUCAAAGGAGAAAAAUUCACAGGGGGUAGUUGAUUAUUGGUGGAAUGGAGUGAGAGUGAAUUCCUUAAAAGUUUAAACGAAAGCAGAACUAUAUUCAUAUCAUGGAGGGAACUUAGUUUCUAAUAUGAUGAACUAUUGCCCCAAGUCAUGACAAUACCUUGCUCUCUGGAAGAGAAUGAGUGAGUUUUUCAUCCGCCAAGAUACACACUCUAUAUUUCCAACCAUCACAUCUGCCUUGCAGGCUGACUGAACCCAGAGCAAAUCAAUCACAAAAGUUAAUCCAAAAGACUUCCCUUCAGCUGCUGGAAAUCAGUCAUCACAUCUGUGAAAAGAGUGCUAGUUAUAACAAAUGAGAUCACAAAUUUGACCAUUUUAUUAGACACCCUCUAUUAGUGUUAACAGACAAAGAUGAAGGUUAAGUUGAAAUCAAAUUGAAAUCUUCUUCCCUCUGUACAGAUUGCAAUAUCUGAUAAUACCCUCAACUUUCUUGGUGCAAAUUAAUUGCCUGGUACUCACAGUCCAGUGUUAACAGGCAAUAAUGGUGUGAUUCCAGAGGAGAGUACUAGGUGGCAGGAAAAUAAAUGAGAUUAGCAGUAUUUGACUUGGAGCCAUAGGCAUCAAUUCUGCUCCAGCUGUCGACCAGGUUCUAAAAACAAGACUCGGAGCAGCUUUUGCUCUUGCUAGUGAUGCAGGGCCAGGAGAGCCCCCACACUCUGCAUUUGCAGGUGUCCAUGAGGGGAAGCCACUCCUGCAUUUAUCCUGUGAGUGGAGAAGCUCAGAGGAAUGAGGACAUUCCAACAGGGUAUCAGAAUUCUCUUUUGUUUAUGCUAAUUGACAGCAGGAACAUCACCAUCUUGGACAAACACCACCAUUUUAAGUUCUCUUUUAUUUAAAAACUGCCUAAAUCCAGCCCCAAAACAUCAGCCUAAUGGCUAUUGUCAGCAUAAUCAGAAACAUUCCAACCCUAAGAUAAACACCCCUCUGGCCAGAAAUAUGCCGACCCCGAGACAGCCUCCCCUCCGACCAGAGACAUUCCAAACCCGCAGUAAACUUUCCUUCACAUGGAAACAUUCCAAACCUACAAAAAGCUUCCCUCUUCCUAAACCCUUAAAUAUCCUUAGUCUGCAAGAGAGAAUGCUCCUGACUGAAAUCAGCCAGAAGCCCCUCUCAGGUUUAUUCUCCAAAAUAAACCUGUCUUUGACUGUUGAGCCACUUUUUGUGUUUCUUUCCUCUUUGUUUAACCCUUACACUAAUGUUAAAUUUACAUAACAUUGAGUACUUCAUGCUUUCCAGAGAAUAAGGAGAAUGCACAUGAACUAAUGCAAAGUUACACAGGUAAUGUGACUUCAUCAUUAGCAUAUGGUGUUAUACAAAUAAAUUAUCCAAACUUUUGAAAUUGAUAUAUUUAUCAAUGGUAAAGCUAAUAAUUAUCAUUAACUGGAACCUUCCAUGUGCAAAAUACUACAUGUCUUAUGUCAUAAUCCUCAAAACCUGCAAACUAUUAUUAUUUACGUUUUAUAGAUAAGGAAACUAAUGAUCAGUGAGAUUGAAUCAACUGUUUUAAGUCAUCUAUAUAGUCAAUGAGACUAUAUUGACACCAGGUCAGUUUGAUUCCAAAUUAUAUGCUUUAUACCAUAUUGUGAUAAUAUAUACUUAGAGUUUCUACUUCUCUUGAGUUACACCAUGACCACCAUAAACUCAACCUGUCACUCAAAACAACAGAAAUGACAAUCCAAAGAUUCUGUAUUUGUAGGUUGAGGAUCAACUCAAAUAGUUACCUAAGUCCCAGACCAUUGUAGAAAACAUGGAUCUCCUAAAAUAGGAUGACAAGGCCAAGACCACCUUCGCCAGAUGGAGGCAGCAGAGAUCAGAGGAUUUGUAUACAGAAUCGCGCAGUCCCAGCUAAGUGAGGGCAGCUUGUCAACAGUAUAGGUAUAGGAAUACAAGAACGUGAAGUUGAUACACAGCUUUAGUCCUCACCUAAAAUCAUAUUGGAGACAUGGAGCAAGGUCAGUGAAGGGACAUUCAGCCAGAAAUGAGGAGGAAGAGGUCAAGAUGAACAGCAGGAGUCAGGAGUCUGUGUGUGAGCCAGUGAACCAGGAAGUCUCAGCCAGGUCAGCUGACCCAAAGGGAAAUCAGCUGCAUGGUCACUGUGCAGCUGAGUUUGAGUUGCAUGUUAUUCAUCUGCAUGGUCACUGUGCAACUGAGUUUGAAUGGCAUGUUAUUCAUCUUUUUUUCCAUAAGUGAGAAGUGUUUUAAGCUGGUAACUUUCUAGAUACCCACUUUAAUGUUAAUAGAUUUUUUUUCCAUCCCAAAAGGGAUGAAUGCAAAGGCCCUAGCAAGAACACAGCUAUCAUUUUCCACUGGAGUUAUUAUCCAGGGAUGGGGGUGGUGAACUCAUCCUGGCUCAUAAUGUGUUAGAAGAUAAAUCACUCCUUCUAAGUAAAAGCAAACCUUUCAGUGGUAUUUCUAGGAGAACACAUGCUGCCUGGUGAGCAGAGGUUACUCAGGAAUAUGCUGGUAAAUUGAGAGAAACCAUCCUCAUCUCCCACUCUCCAACACCCUCUGUUUUAAGAGCAGGAAAUUCGCUUCAAGGAAACAAGAACUCAUAGGGGUAGAAAGGAGCCCAGAGAUCACCUAGCUCAACUGUGCACUUUAUGAAUGUGAAAAUAAGAUACUGAGAAGGUGUUAAAUGCCAUUAGUUCACUAUCUUGCCUGUAUUGCAACAUCGGCCUUCUGUUUCCCUGUUGAGUUCUUUACUACAUGCUUAAAGCAACAUCAGACACGUAGGGGAGGCUGCACAGAAAGCAGAAGGCCAGUGAAGAAGGUUUACACAAUUCUCCAGAAAACAUAAAAGAGAAAAGGAUUGAAACUGACUCUUACGUUUUCAGAGAGAUAAAAUAUAAACAAGAAAAAUUUGAAAUUUAACCCCAGAAGACAGAUAAGAUCCUAUUAGUUUAAUCAAAAAGUUGGUAACACAAACACAUGACUAAGAUAAAGGGGCAUAAAAUGUACCUUACCCCCACCCCCAACAAAAAAAUCUAAUCUCAUCUAAGAUGCAGAAGAAAACAACUAUAAAUCAAGAAGAUACACAACUUAGGAGAAAUCUACCAGCCUGAAGCCAUCAAUAGUGUGGGGAACAUUUGGUUAAGGAUAAAUGGAGAGGAAGCUUAGCUGAUACAGUUUUAGAAUUGAGGUUAUGGAUGAUGUUAUCCUGGUACACAGACCUAGUAUCACAAACCUGACAGAGAAAUAAGAUCUAGUAGCAGCAAGGAAUUCCAACUAUGGACAUUUGCUGGAAGUCUCAUUCUCAGAAUAUCUGAUAAAUCCCUGGCUUGUCUUAUUGACAAUUUAAUCUCCCAGAACAGUGAGGUAAAAUUCAAUUCUCGAAUCAAAUAAAGGAGUUAUCCAAAAUUUUUCUUUUAUGGUAGUGUUUCUUAAGGAAUCAUUGGCCAACAUUGCAAAACCCAGUCUCUACUAAAAAUACAAAAAUUAGCUGGGCAUGGUGGCACGUGCUUGUAAUCUCAGCUACUCAGGAGGCUGAGGCAGGAGAAUUGCUUGAACCCAGGAGGCAGAGGUUGCAGUGAGCCGAGAUUACACCCCAGCCUGGGUGACAAGAGCAAAACUCCGUCCCAAAAAAAAAAAAAAAAAAAAAAAAGAUCCAUGAACCACUACUGGGUGUUCACAAGGUUAACAUGUUUUUUUGAAAAAUACUAUCACAUUUUUUAUUUUCACUCCUUUAAUAUUUGCAUGAAAGGUGCGAAAGCAAUGGUGAGUAAAACAUCCGUCCUUAGCAUAAAUCAACUAGUGGCAUCUAAUUGUCUGGUGGUCAUUUGAUUCUUCGCUACCACACACUCAAAUAAAUCAAUAUAUAAAUAAGUAAGCAGAAGCCACUGUUGUUUGUUCAAGAAUGUCCUAAUGAAGCAGUGGAAGUAUUAAUUUUAUUAAAUCUUGACCCUUGAGUACAGAUCUUCUUAAUAGUUUGUAUGGCAACAUGGAAAGUACACCACAGCUAAGGUAUGUCAAACUACAAUGAUUGUCUCAAGAAGAAGCAUCUGUGCAAUCAUUUGAGUUGCAAGCUGAACUAGCCACUUUUUUUUUUCAUGGAACUACCUUUUUAUUUGAAAAAUUAGCUAACAAAGUAUAUGUAUUCAGGUUUGGUCAUUUAGCAGGCUUUUCUUGAAAUAAAAGGAGAGAGUGUGUAAUGUCAAGGAAAAGAAUUGAUAGUAUUUGUGGUCUAAUAAAACUUCAGUUUUCUGGUGAAAUUAGAAUUUCUGAAAACUUUUACUCACCAAGAUGACCCUGACGGUGGCAAAUAUUUGAACACUUUUCUAGUGAUGUCAAUGGUGGGUUUUUUGAUAUCAUACAAUUACAUGUGUAAACAUUUGAAAAACCAAAUGCAUGAUGUUGCAAAAUCAUGCAUGAGUAAAAAGUAGCAUUCAAAGUGCAAGACAGACUAAUGGAUUUUAAUGCAAAAGAGUAUGCAAAAUUUAUCAAUAGGUUUCCAAUUUCAUAUCACAAGCAACUUUAAGAAAACAUUACUACUCAAAAUUGUUGUUGUUAACGUCAAUAAAGAAUAUCCGCAGUUAACUGAAAAGGCUGUAAAAUAACCCUCUCAUUUUAACCCAUUUAUGCCUGAGGUUGCAAUUUUUUGAAUUUGAAAAAUCAGACCUUGGUGAUGGCCUUGAGCAGUAGGAUAUAAAUAACUCCCACAUGCUUAGCGUUCCAAUAAUGGAACAGUAGGCAUAAAUGGCACCAACAAUUUUGACUAUAAACUACCUAUUUGAGUUUAUAUUUUCUUCAUUUACUUCAGCCAAAGCAAUAGCACAGCAGACUAAAUGCAGAAUCAGAUACGAGAAGCCAGACACCAAAGAAAUUCAUAGAAAUUAAAACAAUACUAUUCUUUCCACUAAUUAUUUUUAAAAUGUCAUAUAAAAUUGGCGUGUCAUAUAACAACAUCAUAUAAAAUUCAAUAUAAAUUUCAAUGAGUUCAUUGCUAUUUUUAAAUUAAUUCUCUAAACAUUUUUAUGGUAAAUGUCAAUAAUAACUCACAUUAGUGAAAGCUCUUUGGGGUCCUCCAUCAUUUUUAAAGGCAUAAAGGGAUCCUGAGAUGAAAAUGUUUCAUAACCUCUGUUUCAUGAUAGCCCCAACCUCCACCAUUCCCAGCAAACCUAUUUCCCUUAACUUGCUUAAUUUUUUCCGUAGCACUCAGCCCCUCCUAGCAUAUUUUGCUUUGAUUCUCUGUUUGAUGUUUAUCUCCCACAACUGGAAUCUUUACUCCAUGGUGAAGGAACCUUGUCAUAGUUUUGUGCACUCUUCUAUUCUUGGUGCAGAAGAUAUCCUGGCAUAUAGUAGGCACUCAAUGAAUAUUUGUUGAGUGAAUGACUUAAGUGAAUGAUUAAUAAUAUCUGUCCUUCAAAGGCUUCCCGCCACCAGCCCUCCCAUUUUUAUGGUGCAAGUCUCUAGGAUUUUCCAUCAGUGUCUGUCUGAACUUGAGCAGACCCACAGUUGCUACCCGAGACAUGCUUGACCUUGCCUGUUUAUACCCCUCUGCAAGGAGAGCUCAGUGCAUACUGUAGAUGAUUUUUCACCUGGAAAAGUCUCUUUAAAACUCAGAGCACUAUGUCAGUCUUGUAUCCAAACAUCCUAAAGUAUUUCCAUUUCCUUUUAGUAAAAUUACAGAGCAGCACUUCAGGCACUGCCAGACGCCUUGGUCUCGAACUGCGACCACUAAUUGUCUACUCAGACUAUGUUGCUUUAACGAGGGAAAGUCGAAGCUUCUUCACCUAACGAUAACACUAAUCUCAAAAUCACAAGCUUAUAGCUUAAGACAAAUUCAGAAAAAUGUCUGGGAGUAUUAUUUAAAAAGUACAAGCUCACUAUGAGUGAAACAGAUUAUGAUACAAUCUUGUGCUGUGCCCAUUAAGGAUAGUGUUGACCAAAAAAAAAAAAAAUUAGUGCUUUUGCACAUAAUUUGUACUGGCAAAGCCACAUUUCCAAAGAAGGAGUCAUAAAUGAAAUUGUCAUAGAAGGGAGAGAUGAGGGCAAACAAGGAAUGCUUUGUCUAAGAGAGUGAAGACAGUGGGGCAUGAGGGUUGUUUUCAGAUACAUUAAGGCCUCAGUCCCUGUGGCCCUGGGAGUCAACGCUAGAUAAAUUGGUAUAAGGGAAGCAGUUUUAACAUUAUCAUAAAUAAAUACAUAAUAAUUUCAGGUAUUUGGGAGUGGGACAGAUUCCCUUGCCUGGCUGCGAGCGUGCCUUUCUCUAGAGUAUUUAAGAAUGCUUAUUGGCUAGCUGCAGGAAGAAACCUUAAGACAGGGAUUUCUUCAUUAGUUUGGCUUGGAAGGAUGAAGGGGUUCUUAUAUGUCUUUUAAAGUUUUGAGGGUUUGUUGUUUGUUUUACCAAUAAGAUUAUGGUAAAAAUAUAGAUUCCUAUUUUUGUAUUCUAGUAUAUUUCUGCAUUUAUUUAUUUUUUGUCGGGGGGGUGGGACGGAGUUUCGCUCGUUUCCCAGGCUGGAGUGCAAUAGCGUGAUCUCGGCUCACCACAACCUCCACCUCCUGGGUUCAAGCAAUUCUCCUGCCUUAGCCUCCUGAGUAGCUGGGAUUACAGACAUGCACCACCAUGCCUGGCUAAUUUUGUAUUUUUAGUGGAGACGGGCUUUCUCCAUGUUGGUCAGGCUGGUUUUGAACUCCCGACCUCAGGUGAUCCGCCUUCCUCAGCCUCCCAAAGUGCUGGGAUUACAGGCGUGAGCCACUGAACCUGGCUAUUUCUGUAUUUUUAUGUGCCACUUUUUAUGACAAUUAAUUCAGAAAAUUCAGAACAAUAACACUGUAUUUCAAUUGCUUGCAAAUUUAAAAUAUUUCUCUAUAAACAUUCAUUCAUUUUUACUGUUUAAAGGAAAGGAUGACAUUGAUGGCAUAAUACUGAAUCUUAAUUCUUCAAUAAAGUUAUUAGUAAUUUUCUUUAUUUUACAUGAAGUAACUACUUCACUAGACCCUUCAUUGAUGGUGCAAAGGGGAAACUUGAACACAAGCCCUGUGAGAUAAAUUAACCUGGCUGAACCUGCUGUCACUAACAACCUCUCCAGUCAGGUGAAAUGUCCAGCUUGUUAACUAAGAUGCAAUUGAGUUUCUUUUUUUUUCUCUUUUCUUUUCUUUAUUUGAGACAGGGUUUUACUCUGUUGCCCAGGCUGGAGUGCAGUGGCAUGAUCACAGCUCACUGCAGCUUCAACCUUCUGGGCUCCAAUGGUCCUCCCACCUCAGCCUCCUGAAUAGCUGGGACUAAAAGUGCACACCACCAUGCCUGGCUAAUUUUUAUAUUUUUUGUAGAGACAGGGUUUGUCAUGUUGCCUAGGCUGGUUUCAUACUCCUUGGCCCAAGAGAUCCUCCCACCGUAGCCUCCCAAAGUGCUGGGAUUACAGGUGUGAGCCACUGCGCCAGGCCCUGAGUUUCUAAAGAAUUGUUAAAACUGCCUUAACAUAUUUUUGAGACAUACACACACAAAAUCUUGGAAUGCAAAUUGAUGAUGGCAGAACAUCCAGCCUAUAGAGUGUGAAAUUAACAGAAUCCAAGAGCACAGAAAUAAUCUAAUCAGUUGACCAAAUGAAUAAUUCUUACUUUGACUCUCUGGGUUACCUAGACAGAAUAUUUAGAAAGGUGGUAAUAAACUACAGAGAAUCUAGCAAAGUAUGGGAUAAAUUGUCAGAUUAAAAAUAAUAACUGUAUAUACAAAAUUGAUUGUAUUUAUGUGAGCAAUGAACAAUUGGUCAUUGAAAUUUUAAAAUAUUACUGUUUGAAAGAGCAGCAAAAACUUAGGGAUGAGUCUAACAAAAGAUGUGGAAGAUUUGUAUGAUGAAAGCUGUGAAACAUUGGUGAUAAAAAUGAAAGAAAUCCAAUAAAUGUAGAGGAUGUAUGGUGUCCCUGAGUGGAAAGCCCCAAGGUUGUUAAUACAUCAGUGCUCCCGCAAAAGAUCCAUAGACUCACAUAAUACAAAUAAAAUUCUUAGAAGGGCUUUUUUUUGGGGUUAAAAUUUAUGAGUUGAUCCUAAAGUUUAUACAACAAAGCAAAGAACUUAAAACACCGAAAACAGUUUUGAAGAAAAAAAAAAUCAGAGAACUUGUUGUACCUAAUUUCAAGACUUACAGAAAAGCACAGAAAUCAAGGAAGGUAUUGGUAAAAGAAGAGACUUUCUAGCUCAAUGGAUCUGAAUAGAGAUUCCAGAAAUAGACCUACACAUACAUGGUCAGUUAUUUUUUGACAAUGGUGCCAUUUAAUGGGCAAAAGAUAGCCAUUUCAACAAAUUAUACCAGAACAAUUGUUCAUCCAUAUGCCAAAAAUAAAAUUUAUAUGAAAAAAGUGAAAUUUACACUAUAUAAAAUUAACUUGAAACAGAUCACCUAAAUAUAAGACCUACAACUAUAAAACCUCUAGAAGAAAAUACAGAAGAAAAUUAUUGAGACCUUGGCAAAUAAAUCUUAAGACACAAAAGAAAAAUUCUGCUGAUCAUUUUUAGACAUUUAGCGUGUCAUCUGAUUUCUCAACAGCAGCACUGAGAGUUGGAAGGCAAUGGCAUAAUAUGCUGAAAGAACAUGAUAACUGUCAACCAGAUUUAUAUCCUCAGUGAGAAUAUUUUUAGGAAUGAGAGCUAUACCUAUUUCCAGACAAAAUAAAACAGAAAUUUGCCACCGAAAAAAGAAAAAAUCAUAAAAGAAGCAAUUGAUUAACUGGACUUCAUCAAAAUUAAAAACUUCUGCUCUUUGAAACAGACUGUUAUUAAAAAAAAAAGUAAGCUGCAGGCUGUCAUUCAGGCUGGAAUGCAGUGUGCAAUCAUGGGCCCCUGGGCUUAAGUGAUCCUCCUGCCUCAGCCUCCUGAGUAGCUAGAAAUAAAGGCCCAAGCCACUGCACCUGGCUAAUAUUUUUUUAAAAAAUUUAUAGAGAUAGGGUCUUGCUAUCUUGCCCAGCCUGGUCUCAAACACCUGGUUUCAAGCCAUUCUCUCACUUUGGCCUCCCGCAGUGCUGGCAUUCCAGGCAUAAGCCACCACACUGGGCCUCUACUCUACUUUUCGAUGUUUAGGUAUGUUUAGAUACACAAAUACCUACCAUUGUGUUAACAAUUGCCCGUAUAUUCAGUAGAAUCACAUGCUGUACAGGUUUGUAGCCUAGGAAAAAAGUAUGGCACACUGUUCAGUAAAAAUUUGCAGGGUAAAAUAAGCGAAUAAAAUCCCACUUUGUUGUUGUUGUUGUUUUCUAUUAUCCAAGAGAACUUUGAAAUAGCUCCAGAAAACAUAUUUCUUAUUCCAAACACAUUCAUCUUCAUUUCGAAAGUAAAAAAACUAAAAUACUAACUCAGAGAAAAAUCAAAUGUUUAAUUUUGGAAAGUAUAAAAAUUUACCAAGAUUAUUAACAAGUAGUUACAUACUUGAUUUAAAAUGCAUGUUGUCCUUUAAGCUGCACAGACCAAAGAAGUCUUUUCCAAGCUUCUUGGUGCAGAACUAUGCUGACUCAACUGAGUACUCACCCAGGCUUGGGGUCAAUUCAAACCUUCCUUUAAUUAAAAAAAAAAAAUUUCUCCCUCCCUGAAGCAAGCUUCCUUCCAUGCUGCUACUGUUAUGUGAAGAUGGAGCAGCCUCUUUCCAAAAAUCCCAUAAAUCAGCAGCUCUUAGAUUUCAUGGCAUCAUGUUGAUAUUGCUUCUUGACUCUCUAAGGUUUAGCAUUUUUUGAUCACCUUUUCUUCUAAGAAAGAAUCUCAGCUUUUUGGUAGUAAGUUGAGAGUUAAACUUCCGAUUGACAGCUACUUAACUCAUGUCCAAAAAUGUUGAGAUAAAUGGUAGUUGAGACAGUCCAAGGAACAAGUUGAACUUUGUCAUUAGAUACUUGUGUCAAGCAGAGCAUGAGAAUGUAAACUCCUUGGUUUAAAAUGAUUUGGUCCUCAUAGAAGCCCUUUCCCUGAACAAAGAUUCAGGACCAUGCUCUCAGCUCUUACCAAAGGCUGGUAUAAGAAAAACCUUCGUGAAGUGCAGUUAUUUAUUAUUUUUAAGUAAAGUUUAUUUUUUCCGUAUAUGAGUAAUUCAUACUCAUUAUAGACAAAUUGGAAAAAUACAGAAAAGCAAAAGGAAGAAAAAUUUUAAGAUAGUCCCAUUCCCCAAAACAAUAUGGUUCAUUUCCACUCUCUCUUUGUUCUAUGAAAUUAUUUUUAAAAUCUUCCGGUAAGAUAAUAAACAUAAUUUACAAAGCAUAUGUUUUCUGGGAAAAUAGUUCUGAGGACAUGGUUUAUGUUAUGUCCCUAAUAAGAGUCUACAGGAUUUCUUGAUAGAAUAUAAAAUUGUCUCUUAUAGCAAGUCAAUAUGGUUUCUUUUAUCACACAAACUGCAUAGAGCAUUAUCUUAUUUCUCUAUUAUACUGGGUAACAAGAAAUUCAGACAAUUUCGUGCUCAUUUUUAGUAAUGUUCUCCCCUAAUCUUCCUCUUCCCCCUCUCUUUCCAUGUGAGUUCUGUUUUCUCUUUUAUCUUUAUUUUAUCUACCAUGCAUAUAAAAUAUAAAUGAGCCCCUUUUUGUAAAAAUCACUUACCAACUCCCUUUUGAGGAAAGUAAGACGCAAAUAAAUAGAUUGGCAGUCUGGGAGAAGCACAGUAACUCUUUUACUUUUAUUCUGGUGAAAAUGCAAAGAAUAAAACCUAAUAUUCACCAGAGGAGAAGGGACACACAGGGUGAGACAGAAAAACAUACAGGGGCUGGGGACGGUGGCUCACGCUGUAAUCAGAGCACUUUGGGGGCCAAGGUGGGCAGAUCACUUAAUGUCAGGAGUUUGAGAUCAACCUGGCCAACAUGGUGAAAUCCCGUCUCUACUAAAAAUACAAAAUUUGUCAGGUGUGGUGGUGUGUUCCUGUAUUCCCAGCUACUCAGGAGGCUGAGGCAGGAGAAUUCCUUGAUCCCGGGAGGUGGAGGUUGCAGUGAGCUGAGACAGCCUCACUGCACUCAGCCUGGGCCACAGAGCGAGACUCCAUCUCAAAUAUAUAUAUAUAUAUAUAUAUAUAUAUUUUUUUUUUUUUUUUUGAGACAUGGAGUGUCUACAAACUACAAAAUUCAACCAUAACACUAAGAUCUUGCUGGGUACAAAAAUGUACACACACAAAAAUAAAAUAAUAAAUGUGAUGCACGGAAGAUAAGCAGACUAAUGUUUAUUGGGAUAAUUUCGCUUACUAACCAUGCUAUAUCCUGUUAUCACUCACCUCAAACCCUACUGUCAUCUAAAAGGGGAAUCCCUUUCCUUGUAGGUGAAAAGGGAUUCUCCUUUUAUAUGGCAGUAGGGUUUGAAUGCAUUCUUGGUUAUUCUGAAUGCACUCAAAAUAUCAAACUGUAGCCGUUUUGUUGCUCGUGAGUAUCUCAUGCUACUGUUGCCCUGAAAAGUCCAUGCAGUAUGGAGAUGCUGAAGGGAACUCAGGCCACUUCGACAGGUCAGUUAUAUGGUAAGGUGGGAAUGGGCAGAGAACGGGGAUGACGUGGAAAAUAAUAUAAAUUUUAAAGACUCUAAGGGUAAAACUAUUAAAAAGAGAAAAUUCACAAGUUUGGAAAAUAAAAAGGGAAAUGAGUUUAAUGCAAGUCAUGGAAUCUACUGGACUAUCCUCUGCGAGAAGAUUUAGGACGUUAGCUCAUGGUUGUUGAGCUGGGACUGGCUCUGCAGAGAAGAGAGGAAGAAGCUUGGGAUACUGUUGGAAGAUUAGGGAGAUCCUGGGAAGGCCGAGUGUGUUUUGAUAAAUGCAGUUUCAGCCUCACACAUUGAAAGAUCUGAGAAAAUACAAUAAAUUGAUAAUAUAAUAGUAAAGAUAAUAGUCAUAAAAAUGACAGUGUUUUGCAAUUAAUGUGCUGCCUUUGUAUUUGCUAACAUUAUUAAACCUUCAAAAUCCUGAUUGAGUAGGUGGAGCAUAUUAUUAUUAUCCCCAUUUUCAAUAUCAGGAAGUGAAGCUCAUCGUUGGCCAAAUGGCUUACCUGAAGUCACACAGUAAGUGACAGUAUACCUCUCAGAAAAUGUCCCAACAGGGAGGGAAAAAGCAUGGCACACUGUUUAGUAAAUAUAUGUAGGAUGAAAUGAAUGAAUAAAAUCCUACUUUGUUGUUGUUGUUUUUUCUAUUUCCAUUAUCCAAGAGAACUUUGAAAUAGCUCCAAAGGCCGGGCACAGUGGCUCAUGCCUGCAAUCCCAGCACUUUGGAAGGCCGAGGUAGGCACAUGACCUGAGGUCAGGCAUUUGAGACCAGCCUGGCCAACACGGGGAAACCCCGUCUCUACUAAAAAUACAAAACUUAGCUGGGUGAGAUGAUGUACGCCUGUAAUCCCAGCUACUCAGGAGGCUGAGGCAGGAGAAUUGCUUGAACCUGGGAGGUGGAGGUUGCAGUGAGCUGACAUCGCACCACUGCUCCAGCUUGGGCAAAAAGAGCGAAACUCCGUCUCGGAAAAAAAAAAAAAUAGCUUCAGAAAAUAUAUUUCUUAUUCUGAGCAAAUGCAUCUUUAUUUCUAAAGAAAACCAACUAAAACACUAACUCAGAAACAAAAUCAAAUGUUUAAUUUUGGAAAGUAUAAAAAUUCAAAAAAAGAAAACUAAUAUUACUGAUACCCCAGAGAUAAGCACAAGUAACAGUUUGGUGUUAUCCCUACAGUUGAUUUUCUAUGUGUUUUUCUGCAUGUAUUUUUUGAAGUUACAUAUAUCAUGCAUAAAUUUGUUUUUCAGAAUUUACAAAUAUAUUGUAAACAUUUUACCAUCAAUAAAUGCUACAGCAUGAUUUUGUCUCUAUUAUGGUAAAAAACAUGCAACAUGAGUUCUACCCUCAACAAAUAUUCAAGUAUACAACAUAGUAUUGUUAACCAUGUGUGCACUGUUCUACAGCAAAUCUCUAGAACUUUUUCAUCAUUCAUGAUCAAAAUUCUAUACCCAUUAAACAGCAACUCCCCAUUCGGCCUAUCCCCCAGUCCCUGGCAACCACCAUGCUAUUUUCUGCUUCUAAGAGUUUGGUUACUUUAACUACUUCAUAUAAGUAGAAUCAUGUAGUAUUUGUCCUCUGACUGGCUUAUUUCACUUAAUAUAAUGUCCUCAAGUUUCAUCUAUGUUGUAGCUACAUGACAGAAUUUCCUUUUUUCUUAAGGCUGAAUAACAUCACACACACACACACACACACACACACACACACACACACACACACACAGUGUAUUUCCAUUAUUUUGAAUAAAUACCCAGAAGUGGGGUUGCUGGAUCAUAUGGGAGUUCUAUUUUAAAUUUUUUGAGGAGCCUCCAUAUCUUUUUUUCAUAAUGGCUGUACCUACCAAUUUACAUUCCCACCAAGAGUGUACCAGCCUUUCAAUUUCUCCACUUCCUUGCUAAUAUUUGUUAUUGUCUCUUUUUGUUUUUUGUUUAAAUAAUGGUUAUCCUGACAGGUGUGAGAUAAUAUCCCACUGUGCUUUUGAUUUGCCUUCCCCUGCUGAUUAGUGAUGCUGAGCACCUUUUCAUAGACUGGUGGCCAUUUGUAUGUCUUUUUUGGAGAAAUGUUUGUCCAAAUCCUUUGCCUAGUCUUUAACUGGGUUAUUUGGUUUUUUGCUAUUAAGUUGUAGCGGUUCCUCACAUAUUUUGGAUAUUAGUCUCUUAUAUAUAUGACUUGCAAAUAUUCUCUCCAAUUCCAUAGGAUGCCUUUUGCUCUGCUGAUUGUUUUCUUUGCUGCACAGAAGCUUUUUGGUUUCAUAUAGUCCCACUUGUCUGUUUUUGCUUUUUUAACCUCUGAUUUUGGUGUCAUAGUCAAGAAAUCAUUGCCAAGACCAGUCGUGUAAGGCACCUCCCCUACAUUUUUUUUCUAGGAGUUUUAUAGUUAUAGCAUGAUUUUUAAAGACUGCCUAAUAACUCAUUGGUUGGAUCUACCAGAAUUUAUUUAACUAACAUUCAGGUACUAAACAUAUAAGUUGUUUCUAAGUUUUGGCUAAUUUAAACUUUGCUACAAUAAACAACUUUGCAUCUAAAUUUCUUUGCACCUAUCCAUGCAUACUUCCCUAAGAUUAAAUUCCUAUAAAUACAAGCGGUAAGCCAAAAGCAUUAAACAUUCGAAGUCUUUGGAUAUUUAUGGAUACAAUGUACCCCUUGGCCAAUGUUAGAGUAUGAAAAUAUGUAGAAUAAAUGGCAAUGGGGAGGUAGAAUAGACUCCACAUUCUGUGCCUUAUCAUAUGUACACCACACUUAGAAUCCAGAUAAUUUCAAUGGGGAAGAACUGAGGGAGAUGCAAAGGAAGCUUAUUGGGUUUCACAAAAGCCCACUGGUAAAUGACAGAGAACGUGAAAGGCCACAUGUCUAAUCAGAGACUUUUAUUAUAGAAUAGUAUAAAACAAAAAAGCAUGUCAAAAAAAUAGAUAAGGCAACAAUAAUCACAAAAAAUUCCCAGGUCUAAUCCAUGCGGGAGGGAGCUCAAGGCCAGGACAAGCCACUUGUUGGCAACGAUCAUAAAAUACUCGCACGCAACAGAGAAAAAAGCAAAAUUCUUCCUAUGUCCCCCUUUUUUUUUUCCUGUUAUGACAAAUGACCUACAAAUGAAAAAGUGUAAGAAUAUUGGAAGAAGAUGUCAUUUCAGAGGAGUUUUACUCUUUAGUUUCAGACAGUCUUUCCCAGGGUGGUAGGAAAGGUUAUGCAGAUGGGUAUGAAUACAUGCUGUUGGCCGUCUUUUGAGAAAUAACAUAGGUAUUAUUAUUAUAUUGAGAAUAGCUUACGGAGAAGAAGCACUGGACAUCUUGAUCUGGAUAUAUUCUGAGUAGAUAUUUUUAAAAAAGGUGGUGGGGGUGAAGGAUGGAAACCAUCAUGACCAUAGACUGGUAACCUUGUCAUUUCUCCAGGGAAAAUACUCAGGCAGAGAAUUAAAAGGAGGAUUCUGGAGCAUUCUUUAGCAAAAUAAGUGAUUGCCAAGAUCAUGAGAAAUGGAUCAGGCUAAUGGGGCUACCGCCUCCCUGGCACAUGCCCCUGUGUGCACCAGAUGCAGCUUCCCCUCUUGAGCUAACACAGCCCUGCAGUCCAUGCCAGAGUGGACAACGUCCAUCAGAAACGUCCAUCAAUGUCCAUCAGAAAGAGGCACCUGGAAGGUGUCUUUGGGCAGAAAUAAUCCUCCAACACAGCUGGAUUUAAGCUCCCACUGACUGCCUUGGGCAGAUGCCCUUGUUUAGAGCUGAGAUUCCAUCAUGCCAAACUAGAACGGUAUAGCAUUUGUGGUUAAGAGCUUGGCUGUCUGAUGGGCUUGGAUUAGCUUCAGACCUACCUGUUACUAGCUUAGUGACCUCUUUGUGACAUCUUCUGUCCUGUAAAGUUGAUGUCUUAAUGAUGUCUUCCUUGCUGUGCUUGUUUGAGAAGAAAAAGCUAGACCAGCAGGAUAAAAGCUCCCAUAAAUAACAUUAUGUUUCAAUGCAAGGAAGAAUGUUCUUUAAAAAGUCACCUGAUAAAAACAGAAUGGGCUGCCCAUGAGAUGGUCACAGCCAGGGUACGAUGAGGCAGAGUUGGGAUGGUUCUUUUCUCGUCUCCUCUAGACUGUGUGUCCUGAUUCUAAGAACUUCAGAAAACAUUACGUGCAUUUUAAAAAGCUGUAUGAACAUGUGGUGCUGCUGUGAGCAGUGGAUGGAUUGUGCUGUUUACAGGACAACCCCCACGAGGAAGUAGAAUGUUAAAAAAAUAAGCAAACAACAGACCAGGAAACCUCUGGUAGACCUGUCCUUUGUCACAUUUUGCUUCAAACACUCAAGUCAAAAGGAAUUGUUUAAUGGCUACAAUGAUAAAAGAUCCUUUCCAGAGAGAAGAAGUGAUUUAAAAAUUGAUGUCAAUGAAAUAUGUCAGUUAUCUUAUAUGAAAUGACCCUCUGACCAUCCAGGAUUUUGUGUGUGUGGUUUUGUGUGUGUGCGUGUGCGUGUGUGUGUGUGUGUGUGUGUGUUUUACCAGGGAAUUCAUUUAGAUUGUUAUUUCCCAAAUGAGUUGAGAUCAUGGAUUUUUACCAACAUACAUAAUUAAAGGCUCCAAUUAAUACUAUUUCCACAGUAAUUCCUUUUUUUCUAAGUUGUAUAACUUAGACUGCAGAUUUAGCAGAGACGUGACAUUUCACUAAAAAGUAGAAAUCAUAGACAAGUGUAGGGAUUUUCAUGAUGCCUAAAACAAAAGAUCAGUUAUUAAAAAUAAAGGCCUUCCCCCAAUAAAAAUGUCUAUCCGUUUGAAGUUUUAAUACGGUCUUAAAACAUUACAAAUAACUAACUUUACUUCGAAUAACAAAUAUUUGAAAAAGAAAAUAGGGUUGAAAGCCCAACUCUUAGAAACAACUUCCUAGAGAAAUCUUCCAGGCAUAAAUUACUUGUAAAAAGUAGCUGUGUCUGGAAAAGUGGGUAAAUAAUUUACUAUUCCAAUACAGAAACUUGCUAUUAAAGGAACAUGAAUGAAUCCUUUUAUUUAAAGAAGAAAAACCAAAAAAACAUUUAACAAGAGAAUUAGCAUUUCCCUACUUAUCUAUAUUAUAAUUUUGCACAUCAGUUUUUCUUGAGGUGUAAAAUACUAGCAAUAAUAAAUAAGCUAUGUUAUAAAAAUCUAAAAGUUAUUUAACAUGAUUUAUCUUAUUUGUUCUGUGUGACAGAGUUUGGGAGAACAGCUACCUACGGUACCAUUGAAGCAUAUGCACAACUAUGAAAUCAUGAAAGUGUGAACCUAGCCAAGGUCUCAAUCUUUACGGGUCCCACUUUUCUUAUCUUCACAAACAAGGAAGUUGGGUUAGAUUAAGUGUUUAAUGCUAACAUCCUUCUCUCUCUCUCUUUUAAAAACUAGAGCAUUUAUUAUAUGACUAAUUAUUAUUAUUAUUAUUAUUUACAUUUUAAUUUUUCUCUUAAAUUUCUUUUCUUUUUUAAAUUAUUAUUAUACUUUAAGUUUUAGGGUACAUGUGCACAAUGUGCAGGUUAGUUACAUAUGUAUACAUGUGCCAUGCUGGUAUACUGCACCCACUAACUCGUCAUCUAGCAUAGACAUCUACAGA